rnacentral:rRNA from 1 species
UACGGAGGGUGCAAGCGUUGUCCGGAUUCAUUGGGUUUAAAGGGUGCGUAGGCGGGUCUUUAAGUCAGGGGUGAAAUCCUGGAGCUCAACUCCAGAACUGCCUUUGAUACUGAGGAUCUUGAGUUCGGGAGAGGUGAGUGGAACUGCGAGUGUAGAGGUGAAAUUCGUAGAUAUUCGCAAGAACACCAGUGGCGAAGGCGGCUCACUGGCCCGAUACUGACGCUGAGGCACGAAAGCGUGGGGAGCAAACAGGG